rnacentral:rRNA from 1 species
CCCUUAGACGUUCUGGGCCGCACGCGCGCUACACUGGCCGGUGCAACAAGCAUCCGUCCUUGGCCGACAGGCCCGGGCAAUCUUUGAACGCCGGUCGUGAUGGGGAUAGACUUUUGCAAUUUUUGGUCUUCAACGAGGAAUUCCUAGUAAACGCAAGUCAUCAACUUGCAUUGAUUACGUCCCUGCCCUUUGUACACACCGUCCGUCGCACCUACCGAUUGAAUGGUCCGGUGAAGCCUCCGGAUUGGCGCGCACCUCGGUGCCGCCGAGAAGUUGGCUAAACCUUACCAUUUAGAGGAAGGUGAAGUCGUAACA